UCGAGCUGUGAAGCGCGAGCCCUCACCUGCAGUUACUUUGUUACACUUAGUGUAGGUUGAUGUGACACUACUUUCGGGACAACACAGCGCAUCUUUCUGGAAAAAAUGUACAACAGCAAUUAGCUGCUUAGGUAGAGGUUUGCACCGUUUCUCUUUCUUCGUUUAGAAGUCAGGUGUUUUUGAGAUAUUUUGACGGACAUGUUUUGCAAACUAAUCUUUUGCAAAGGAUGUCCUUGCAGGUUUUCCCCACUGUCGAAGACUGGGAGAAAUCUGUGAACUUUGUAUCUGUAAUUUAUAAGAAAUAUGCACAUCUGCUUGGAGCAGAAGCUUCUCAACAGUACUUGUUACUCAUUAGACGGUGAGUCUGAUCUAGAUUUAACAGCACCGCUAUUUCCCCAAUGGAUGUUCAUAGGCUUAGUGACAGUGGUGGACUGUCUGUUGGAUCGAGGUGGGGCGGGUGUCAUUGGCAACAACGCCACUUUGCAAUAUCAGUGUCAGUCUCUUUGUAUAUUUUUCUGCAUACUUACAGAUUCUCGCAUGGUAGUCUGACAUAACCGAAAUUACAUCAACAUAUCCCUGACUGCUGGUGUCUUAGGAAGUAAUAUUGCUACCAGCUGACUUUUCCCUGAUUCCAGAGCUGUAGAAAUGUGACUUAGAGGGAAAACACACGAGCGCAUUGCAAAGACUAAUUUGAUUAUGCUCAUUUGUGCACAGUAAAGAAACAAGUUGAUCGGGUUUAUUGAAGGACUGGUGUUGCGCUUUCUGCAAGUAAGAUGUCAAUGUAUCCUAGUCAUGUGCAUUUUCCAGAAGGCAGAUAUUUUCUGCAGAAAAAGAUGCAGUCAAAGGUUUGGCACCAUCCAGAAGUUGAAGACAUACCAUUAGAAGCACAAACGUGAGAAUUUGUCCUGGCUGGAGUGAACACCAUUUUUUUGAGGUUAAGUCUGUAUAAGACGCACGCACACAGUGAAAAAAGGAUCGAUGAUUUUCAGUGGACUCAUUUGUGGUUGUCUUUUUUGUUAAUAAAAUAGAAUUGGUAUAUCUGACCAACAACAGUAACUGUCUAAGGCUGCAGUGGCUUAAUUUACAAAUUAAUAAUUUCUCAGGUGUGAGGUUCAUGCCAGGAUUGAGGGCAUGUCAUGGACAGCAGGACAGACUAAAUGAUAUGCUUAGAAAAGGAAAGUCUUCUGCCUUACACAGUGUUAAUAAAGGGACCACAGUUUUCAAUAGGUCAGAAUAUGGUAAUGGACUUUUUUGACAGUUGGUAAUAUGAAAUCAAUCUGUCUGUGCAGCAAGAAAAAAAAAGAUCCAUUGUUGAAGGUGCACAAUGAUUUAAUUCAUACACCAAUAACUUUUCAUAUAAGGUCCACACCUCAUAAAGACUGAUAAAUUUGUCUGUGUAUUGUUAAGCAGAUGGAGGGAAUAAUGAAGUAACCACAAUCUUCAAUGUAAUGGUCUUUGGUGAACUUUUCUUCUACAGUUGGUACAAUAAGAUCAAUGUGCCUGUCUUUCAGUAAAAGUUUGGCUGUUUUAGUUGCACAAUGAUGUACCUCACAUCUCAUUAAUUCUUCAAAUGAGCCCAGGGUCCACACCAGGACUGACAGACACAGUCACAAUCACGCUACUAGUUUUAGCGUGUGCGUACAGAAGCAUGUACACACACACACAUGCACUCACAAAAAAUCAUACUGUUUUGCACUUCAUGAAUAUGCAUGCUGUAGAGUGGUGGACCACAAGAAUGUAAUUUUUAUUUGUGUAUUUGUUAAGUAUUAAAAUGUUAAACUUCUAGACACUUUAAAACAAACUGCAAUCUUGAGAUGUAAAUAUGUGAAAAAAUGUGACAGCCAGUCUUGGCCUCUAGGCAAAACAAUAACAUGCUAAAGCUUAAUUAAUUUUUUAUUUAAAAGAAUGAAUAAUAUGAACAUGAUCCCUGCCAGAGGCCAUUAAAGACUGUUCUAGAUAGGUGAUCAUAAAGGGAUUGUCAAAAAGUAUACUUUGCAACUGGCCCUGAUUCUCAGACAUGCCCUUGAUCUGGAGUCUGAAUGUUGUGCUGGGGUGGAUUAUAAUGUAGAAAUAAUGCCAUUUAUUAUAGUUAGAAACUUCUUACACUUCAGAAAAUGCAUUUUAAUUCAUGUACUUAAUACUUUGUCAACUUUCUAAAUCAGUGGAACUAAUAUUUAAAAAGUGACCAUGAUAUGGGUUUUUAACUUUGAAUAUUUUUGACUUUGUUCAUAAUUCUGGUGCUGAGAGGUAGAAAGCUAUGCCCAAAAGAUAAAUCCAAAUCAGGGGAAAGUAGCCAAUUUCAAAUGAACGCUCUAAACUAGUUGAAGGUAAUCCAGCCUGAGAUGUCUAAUCAAGUUCUUGGAAUUACUAGUUGCCCCGAAUCAUGUGAUCUGAGCAGGCUAGUAGGGGCAUAAGUACACAGCAACUCUUUUACAUAAACAGGCGACAAAGUGUAGCAGUUAAGAUCAAGGAGCUUAAAGAUUCAACUUGUUGCAACCGGCAGCUGGUACAGCUGUGAUAUGGCUCAUUUUACGUGUCACAUCAAUGUACUCACUGCAGACUGCUGUAGCUCUAGGUCAAGGGCAUUGCAGUAGUCAGUGUGAGAUAGAACCAGAGUGUGAAUCAUAUUUCCAUAACUAAAGGAUGCAACAUCGUUUGAUGUCAUCCAGUACAACCAGUAUCAGAGCCAUGUGCACAUACUGACACACACACGCGCACACACAUCCAUGCGCACACACACACACACAAAACCAGACAUGCAAAGAUGUAGGUGAAACAAACAUUAGUUACAGGGUACGUACUGAUUACAGUGCACAGAGUUUACAGUUUGCUAGUUAUAACAAAUGAUAAGCCAUCUAACAGGUAAAGCAUGUUUUUAGUUUAAAUAAGAAAUAUGCUAUUUGGUGUUUCAUAAAAAUGAUUGGCUUCCACAGUGCUCCUCAUUAGUAUUUCAUUGCUAUGGAGUGUUUUCACAUUUUAAUUUUUUUAGGUUGUUAACCAGCAGUACUGUCACUCAUCUUGCAGUUUCUAAGAAAAUGGAAAUUUUUAACAAACAGCUAUGCUAUAUAGAAACAGCUGGCAUGUGAAGGCAUUCCCCUUACAUAUUGCUAAAAUCAGGUUUGAAAACAUAGAAUACAACUGUACUCCAUUUAGCUGGUGCUCUGUGCAGUUACUUGACUGAUAACCCUGUUGGAAGAAAAAAAAAGGCCUUCUGAAAAAAUGUUCGGCCGUGCAUCCUUACAUGUAACAAGCAAGUAACUUCUUACAUAUAGAUUCCCACUGAUCACCUCAGUGCUACAGCCGUGUGGCUGCAGAUGAAGUACAGGCAUUGGUUUCUGGAGCCAUUACAUCCUGACAGCUUCAGAAAUCAAUGUCAGCACUGCACUCGUACACCUUUGUUGUCAGCACUGCACUCAUACACAGCACUGCACUCGUGCACCUUUGCUGUCAGCACUGCACUCGUGCACCUUUGCUGUCAGCACUGCACUCGUACACCUUUGCUGUCAGCACUGCACUCAUACACCUUUGCUGUCAGCACUGCACUCAUGCACCUUUGUGGUUAGCACUGCACUUGUACACAGCACUGCACUCAUACACCUUUGUGGUCAGCACUGCACUCGUGCACCUUUGUGGUCUGCACUGCACUCGUGCACCUUUGUGGUCUGUACUGCACUCGUGCACCUUUGCUGUCAGCACUGCACUCAUGCACCUUUGCGGUCAGCACUGCACUCGUGCACUUUUGUGGUCAGCACUGCACUCAUGCACCUUUGUGGUACGCACUACACUCGUGCCCCUUUGUGGUCCGCACUACACUCGUGCCCCUUUGUGGUUAGCACUGCACUUGUGCACCUUUGUGGUCUGCACUGCACUCGUGCACCUUUGCUGUCAGCACUGCACUCGUGCACCUUUGCUGUCAGCACUGCACUCGUGCACCUUUGCGGUCAGCACUGCACUCGUGCACCUUUGUGGUCUGCACUACACUUGUGCACCUUUGUCGCUGCUUCGCCUUGCCAUACAUAAGGCUCUAGUUCAUUAGAGAGCUGUAAGUAGUUAUGGAAAUGUCAGUUUGCCAUAAUUACAGAAUUAUAUCACUUGAGAAAUAAAAUAGAAGUCAUCAGCCCCUCAUGAGCAGGGUUAGUCACAUCAUGCAGGGAAUGGGGUAUCUCCUGCUGUGCUGUACCUUAUUUUGUGUUGCUUUUCUUGGCAGUCUCUCCAUUCACAGGAAAGAGAAGGGGUGCAAACUGGAAACAAAGAGGGCAUAACAUUAUGUGAACUAGCACAGUCAGCUGUAAUGUGCAGAGAAAGGGGGAUUCAGAGGCAUAGAUAGUGGGACCCCACUACCUAUGAAUUAGUGUUUUAUGCAUGCUAUACAAAUGACUAAAUAAUGGCAUGCAGAUGAGUGUCAUUACAUUAAUGAGAGCUACCACAUGUAUAGCUGAUGAAAUCAAACAUUCAGGAACUAUUUAUAAGCUGCUUCCCUAUUACCUACCCAAGCUAAUCUUAACUCUAUAUAACGAUGAUAAAGCCUUAAUUGCAGCUCAUAAACCUUCUUCCACUCUAAACGGAGAAACGUAAAAUGAUUUUGCAGUUCUGCUUUAUGUGCUCAAGUCCCCAGCUCUUGAAAAGCACUGACUCCAAGGUAGGGACUCAAGAGUCUCGUAGUUUGUGUAGGCUAAUGCCAAUCUUAUGUAUUUAUUUCCUGUACAUUUGUUUACCAGGAAAGUCCAACUUUUUCAGCAGAGGCCCGGGGAGAAAAGCUCAACAUGCAUAAAAAUAAUACAUGAGAAAAAAUGUGAAAAAUGCACAAUUACAAAAAAAUUGGGAAUAAAUUACAUAAUUCUGUAUAGUUCUAGGUUAAAUGACCUUACAAAAUAUGCAGGAGAGAUCAGUUAGUUAACACAGUGCUAACUAAAAAACCUUAACAGUGUGUGCAGUAAUUUUAUCUCCAGAAGUCAUGAUUGAAAUACAAAGUUUGAAAUAUACAGUUUUACAAUGAGCAGGCUGAAAUAUGAUUAGCAUCCCUAGGAGUGUGCCACUCUAACGUAUGCUACAAGAUUUUAGGAUUUAGAGAUUGCUAAUGCUCUAUGUGUUAUUAGGUUGAGAUUCGGAGAACACUGUGGAUCUCUGAUGAGGUAAAAGAUAGGAGAACAUGAAGAGCUUUGGUCGAGGAAAAGAGAUUGGAUGGGUGGAGUCAGAAAGAAAAGGAAAAGUGCAGAAAGUGAGGUGUCAGUGGGUGGAGGGGCACAAAUAAUAGUAAUGAAGCAGUGCUUCAGCCUAGGGAUGAGCAGGAGCUUAGCCAGUUAUUGCUUUAAUGUAUUCUGAGCAGGUUAUUGAAUGUAGCAGGGCAGAUGGUGUUGGUAAUGUGUGCUGGGGAUGAGCAGGAGCAUAGCUGGUUAUUGUUUAAAUGUAUUUUGAGUGUGUUAUUGAUUGUAGCAGGUCAGCUGUUGUUGGAAAUGUGUGUAAGAAUGGAAUUCCACGAGUCUGAGAUUUGGUAUGAAUAAAGAGAGUCUCAGAUGCUAUUACUGGAUUUAGAAACUUUUAGCUGGUAUUUAUCCAAUGAUCUUAGGGUUCUGUUAUUGGAGUGGGUUUGUACAAGUUUUUGUAAGGCUGGACAAUUUUCAGGUUAAUGGAGUGGGGUCUUGUGAGUUGGUUGUAUGAUAAAAUGUUGAGUAGUUAUAGCCAUUUUAGUUGGUGAAGUGCAGUACAGAGAGGGGUUCUGUGAGGAGGGUUUGCAGCGAGUUUGUCAAUUUUGUGAUAACACAUCUAAUGCUUACUCUAAUGCUAAUGGUGAUGCAAAUGCUUAUCCUAAUGCUAAUACUAGUUCUUAUGCUUAUAGUAAUGCUAAUGCUAAUGGUAAUGCUUAUGCAAAUGCUAAUUAUUGUGUUAUGCUUGAACUCAAAUAGCACACAUGCGAGCAGCUUCUGCAUCUUACCUGAACACAUUAUAUUCAAGCUUGAACUAGGUACAUGUGUCAAACGUGGGGAGUGAGUGGGAGAGAAUGCGAAUGUUGAUUGGGGCAACAAUGUGGAAAGUGAAUUAGGUUUGUGGAUCUGGAGUGUAAUUUUAGGGUAAGGGAAUGAGAAGGGAUUAUUAGGCUUAUUAGGGACCUAGAGGAGAUUUUUAGGGUUAAGGAGCAAUCAGGAAAUUUAGGUUUAGGCAGGGUAGUUGGUGUUUAAGGGUAAAGGAGUGAGAACUCAGGUUAGGAACUGUUGGGAGUUUUAGGGUUAGAAUUAGGGAUCUGGAAGGGCUGUGUCAUUUUAAAGGGUUGAGUGUUGUGGGGAUAAGUAGUUUUGGGAGAUUGGGCUAGUCAAAGUUAGAGCACAUGCUUUUUCAACCAAAUGGCAGUGAACAGGUGUGUCGCAAGCUACUAGUACACAAGCACCCGUAGUAGGCCCUGAUUUAGCAUGUAUUUGGAACUGUCUUACAAAUAAUUAGCUAAAGGUUAACACCAAAAAAAUUUAACUUAUGAUUUUUAGUACAGCUCAGAGGGUACAAUCAUCUGUCAAUCCUAGCAUCACAGACUCAAAUGCAAAAUAAACUUCCAUGUCUCUCUCAAAAAUGUAUCCAAGGGUAAUUCUGGAUCAGGAGCUUUCAUUCUACAGUCAUCUAGACUCACUGAUAAACAAACUAAUGUCACAACUUAAGCUUUCCUGCAAAAAUUCCAUACUCACUUUCCAAACAGGCAAGGGCAGCCAUUGCUAAAAACGUACUCACCCAGCAGUUAGAAUAUGUCUUACCUCUUAUAUCACUUUAUUCUCAGUGAAAUUCCACCUCUUUUUAAACAGCUGAAAACAAAAUAGUGCAAUUCAUUUGUUUAGUCCACAUUAAUGAACACCAGUCACCAGUAUAGCAUUCUACAGAGGACCAGAUGACUUCCCAUUGAAGCAAGAGCUAAUUUUUGUCUAAACACAUUGACUUCCAAAGUGCUGGAUAGCAGUCACUCUGUCACUGAAGCAACUUCUGUUUUUUAGAAACACUUUGCAUAACUGAAGUCAACCAUACUCUCAGUUACAAAGCCCAUCAUAUAGAUUAGCUUUCUCUAAAAAACUUUCUACAAAGUACCCCCACACUGUGGAAUGCUUUCCCAGCCAAACUUAAUAUCAUGUCUGAGCUCCACCUUUUUAUGAAAUGGCUAAAAUCACACUUGAGAAAUCAACACAAAUACAAAUGUUUUGUUGUUAGCAUCCCCUGCACUUUGCUGUGCUCUGUUCACAAGGUACAGAAAUGCUAUUACCCAACAGUAUAGUCCAAUGCUGCAAUUUUUUUAGUAAAUUUUCUUCGCUAAUAUUGUCUUAGAUAUGUUGGGGUAAACUGUGUAAUGAGUUAAUGCUUGCACACUGCUGUAUAAUUUAUGAAUAUUCAGUGAGUAGGUAUUUAAUAUGACUUGAUAAAAUACUUGGGUAUCUUACUUGACUAUUAGAAUUACCUUCUGUGUAUUAUAUGACCAUGGAUACUGCAUUGAUUAAUUUGUAGGCAUUCAUAGACAGCACAGUUUCAACAUAACUUUUAUUUCCAGCUUGGGUUUGGUGCUAUAUUAAACUGUCUAUUUAUUGUUGCAGUACUACUCUGAUUGCAUGUAGAUGUUAUAUUAAACUGACUGCUUAUUGUUGCAGUACUGCUCGGAUUGCAUGUAGAUGAGGUACCAUGCAAUAUAGUAUUAUAUGUAAUUGCUUUUGCUGUUAGGCCACAGUCAUGACCGAAAAUAAUCUGUGGACUAGCUCACUCACCCAUUAAGCUAUUUAAAUAAAUAAGCAAAUGGA